rnacentral:lncRNA from 1 species
UUACUAAACCAUCCCAUAACUGUCUGGAUACAUGAUGUUCAUAAUUAAUAACGACUUAUCCACUGGCCCUCCUGGAUAGCCUUCAUCAUCAAUUUCAACUUCUUCUCCUUCAAUAUAAUCUUCAAAGUGUUCAUUUGAAACCGAAGUACUAAGACCACUCCGUCUUCUUCUCACCGAUGCAGUUGGUCGCACACGGUCCAAAUUAGAACUUCCUCCACCUCUAGUCCUUACCAUCUUACUUUUCAUAAAAAUAACAUUCAAUCCAAAAUUACAAUGGAACACAAAUAGUAUAGAAGAACAAUAUAUUGUUGCGUUAACUACCUAACACAAAUACAUACAGUUGUUUAUGGAUGGAAAAAUCCAUAAGUCAUUAAAAUAUCCGCACAACAAUUACAUAGACCGGAUAAAAAUAUCCGUAAGUCAAAAAUGAGUUCUGCACAAAAAUAUCCGCACAACAAUUACAUAUACCGGAUAAAAAUAUCCGCAAGUAAAAAAUAAGUUCCGCACAAAAAUAUCCGCACAAUAAUUACAUAUACCGGAUAAAAAUAUCCGUAAGUCAAAAAUAAGUUCCGCACAAAAAUAUUCGCACAACAAUUACAUAUACCGGAUAAAAAUACCCGCAAGUCAAACUAUAAUUUCGAAAAAAAAUAUCCAGAAGUCACUUACCUUAUUUUCUCCGACGUUCUCUCCGGGCUUCCUCUCCGUUCAAGGGCUCCUUCGCGCCGUUGCAGCUGAUGGUUUGUCGUCGAAAUCAAACGGAACGAAAGACUUGUUGUCCUUCCCUGCGAAAACCAAGAGGAAGCUGGUGUAGAUGAGUUGCGGCUGCGGGUUGAAUGCAGAAGUGAGGGUUGGGUGCAGGUUUUUCAUUCACAUUCUUCACUUAACCUAAUUUAAUAUUCAUUAAGGGCACUUUUGUCUUUUCACGUCAAUGAUCAGGUGCAGGGAGAAGGGAGAAUGUGCCUUUUUCUUGAUUCUCCCUUUUUCC